rnacentral:rRNA from 1 species
UACGGGGGGGGCAAGCGUUGUUCGGAAUUACUGGGCGUAAAGGGCGCGUAGGCGGCCAUCUAAGUCAGACGUGAAAUCCCUCGGCUCAACCGAGGAACUGCGUCCGAUACUGGCAGGCUGGAAUCCGGGAGAGGGAUGUGGAAUUCCAGGUGUAGCGGUGAAAUGCGUAGAUAUCUGGAGGAACACCGGUGGCGAAGGCGGCAUCCUGGACCGGUAUUGACGCUGAGGCGCGAAAGCUAGGGGAGCAAACAGG